AAGCAUAGCCAAUCGCUAUUAAUAAUUUUAUUAAUAGAGGAAAAUCCGCUCUAGCACUUUCUGAAAUGAAAGUAGUGUUCAUGCUGGAUCAAAUAAAUCCAGGCAGCAGUAAUGUUGACGACUAGUGCAACAGAGACGAGCUUAUUUAGUUAAGAUGAAACGAUGUAAACUCCGUGAGCUAGAAACCCAAAUUUUGGUAGGGGAACUAAGACAAGGGAAUAAAACUAAGUCUUGGAAGUUUUUAUAAACUUAGAUAAAUGAUUGGCACUCGAAAGAGGACAAAAAGCGGUUUAUAGUG
rnacentral:RNase_P_RNA from 1 species